rnacentral:rRNA from 1 species
GGGGCCGGUUUCCGGGGAUUAUUGAGCGUAAGAGCUCGUAGGCGGUUUGUCGCGUCUGCCGUGAAAGUCCGGGGCUCAACUCCGGAUCUGCGGUGGGUACGGGCAGACUAGAGUGAUGUAGGGGAGACUGGAAUUCCUGGUGUAGCGGUGAAAUGCGCAGAUAUCAGGAGGAACACCGAUGGCGAAGGCAGGUCUCUGGGCAUUAACUGACGCUGAGGAGCGAAAGCAUGGGGAGCGAACAGGAUUAGAUACCCUGGUAGUCCAUGCCGUAAACGUUGGGCACUAGGUGUGGGGGACAUUCCACGUUUUCCGCGCCGUAGCUAACGCAUUAAGUGCCCCGCCUGGGGAGUACGGCCGCAAGGCUAAAACUCAAAGGAAUUGACGGGGGCCCGCACAAGCGGCGGAGCAUGCGGAUUAAUUCGAUGCAACGCGAAGAACCUUACCAAGGCUUGACAUGAACCGGAAAGAUCUGGAAACAGGUCCCCCACUUGUGGUCGGUUUACAGGUGGUGCAUGGUUGUCGUCAGCUCGUGUCGUGAGAUGUUGGGUUAAGUCCCGCAACGAGCGCAACCCUCGUUCUAUGUUGCCAGCACGUGAUGGUGGGGACUCAUAGGAGACUGCCGGGGUCAACUCGGAGGAAGGUGGGGACGACGUCAAAUCAUCAUGCCCCUUAUGUCUUGGGCUUCACGCAUGCUACAAUGGCCGGUACAAAGGGUUGCGAUACUGUGAGGUGGAGCUAAUCCCAAAAAGCCGGUCUCAGUUCGGAUUGGGGUCUGCAACUCGACCCCAUGAAGUCGGAGUCGCUAGUAAUCGCAGAUCAGCAACGCUGCGGUGAAUACGUUCCCGGGCCUUGUACACACCGCCCGUCAAGUCACGAAAGUUGGUAACACCCGAAGCCGGUGGCCUAACCCCUUGUGGGAGGGAGCUGUCGAAAGUGGGACUGGCGAUUGGACUAAGUCGUAACAAGGUAACC